rnacentral:rRNA from 1 species
ACGAACGCUGGCGGCGUGCUUAACACAUGCAAGUCGCACGGAAAGGCCCCGCUUUUGUGGGGUGCUCGAGUGGCGAACGGGUGAGUAACACGUGAGUAACCUGCCCUUGACUUUGGGAUAACUUCAGGAAACUGGGGCUAAUACCGGAUAGGAGCUCCUGCUGCAUGGUGGGGGUUGGAAAGUUUCGGCGGUUGGGGAUGGACUCGCGGCUUAUCAGCUUGUUGGUGGGGUAGUGGCUUACCAAGGCUUUGACGGGUAGCCGGCCUGAGAGGGUGACCGGCCACAUUGGGACUGAGAUACGGCCCAGACUCCUACGGGAGGCAGCAGUGGGGAAUAUUGCACAAUGGGCGGAAGCCUGAUGCAGCAACGCCGCGUGCGGGAUGACGGCCUUCGGGUUGUAAACCGCUUUCGCCUGUGACGAAGCGUGAGUGACGGUAAUGGGUAAAGAAGCACCGGCUAACUACGUG